CCUACGGGUGGCAGCAGUGAGGAAUAUUGGUCAAUGGCCGGAAGGCUGAACCAGCCAUGCCGCGUGAAGGUCAGUGCCCUAUGGGCGUUAAACUUCUUUUGUGCGGGAGCAAUAAUGGUCACGUGUGGCCAGACGAGAGUACCGUACGAAUAAGCAUCAGCUAACGCCGUGCCAGCAGCCGCGGUAAUACGGGGGAGGCAAGUGUUAUCCGAAAUAAUUGGGUUUAAAGGGUGCGUAGGCUGUGUGGUAAGUCAGCGGUGAAAUCCCCCGGCUCAACGGUGGGAAGUGCCAUUGAUACUGUCUUGCUGGAAUGCGGAUGCGGUGGGAAGAAUGUGUGGUGUAGCGGUGAAAUGCGUAGAGAUCACACAGAACACCGAUUGCGAAGGCAUCUCACGAAUCCGCGAUUGACGCUGAGGCGCGAAAGCGUGGGUAUCAAACAGGAUUAGAUACCCGGGUAGUC
rnacentral:rRNA from 1 species